CGAUUCCUCCUCGAUCACAACCACAACGUGGGCAGGAGCGGACGGGGCGGAGCCGCGGGGGCCGGGAGACGGGUGCUAGUAUAUAAACUUGUAAUUGGCUCUGGCUCCCGGCUCCGGGCACUGGGCGAUGUUUCCAACCAGAUGGAUUGUGAGGCCCGGCAGCUCCCUAGUCCCUUUUCUUCCCCCUCCUCCCAGCGUCCCCUCGCUGCCCAAGCCCCACCCUUCGGCCUUCGCAAGUCUACCAAAAUUUCUCUUUCCAGUCCUCCCCUGCAUGACGGAUGGCACCCAGAAGGCACUAUUAUUUGAAAAUGCUGGUUGGAUUCCAAAGCUACAAUCCUGGUUUUAAAGUCUGAUCAGGCAUCCUGAGAUU
rnacentral:lncRNA from 1 species